rnacentral:lncRNA from 1 species
UUCAAUCUAUUUUCUUCACACUCCUUAACAAGGAUGAUGUGAUACAUAAAAAAGCUCAGGCUUAUUGAAUUGCCAGUGCAUUAGCCACUUUCCAUUUACAGGCCCUUUAAUUUACAAGACUAAAUUAGUUAACAUCAGUGACGAGAGUUGAAAUGAAAGAGGAUGAAGGCUUAAGUGACACGGAAGAAACUUUAGCAAAGAAGACUAAAGAGCCUCACCUAAUCCAAGAUAAUACCCUUUUCCUAUUAUUGACGUGGGGAAUCUUUGAGUAAGCUUUGUCUCGUAUUAACUUAAUUAGUGGGACGAAAAAUGGAACCCUACUACUGGGGACGUUUUUCGUUAGGAUUCGCCUCAGUAACAUGGUUUUGUUGCUUCCCCUCUUACCUAAUCCUCUUUCGUUUUCUCCUCUCUUUAGACGCCCAACUUCAUUUUUCUCAUUCACAUUCACAUUCACCAGUUAACCUGUUAGAGUUCAUACUCUUCCUUUACCCCCUUAGUCAAAGCAAACACACCUGUUCAAAUGAAAACCAUGCUAUAUUGUUAAUUAGAGACGAACCUUUUUAAUUUUUAUAAAAAAAAGAAUAUAGUUAAUUAGUGUAGUGAAAUGUAUUAUUAUUGAAAAAAGUUGGAGAAUGUUCUAGCGUUGAGUAUUACGUAGGUAGCGAUGCGUUGGAUGGUUGUGGGUUGAUUACCUGGAAGAUUCUUUGCCGCGUGUCAGAGUCUUUCAGCCAUAACCACAGGUUCAUCAUCAAACUUUUGGGCCGUACUAGUCAAGCCACGGGUCAUGAAUCACCACCCUUCUCAAACUUCUAAAUCCAUCGUCUUCAGUUCCCACAAAAAUUUUCUGUAAUUGAAAAAUAGAAGCACCACCCACGUGUCACAAAUUGACCAUCAAAGAAUCUACACAUGUAUCACCUCCUGGGGUAUUGCCGGAUUACCCAAAACAAAAGUUACUUUCUUCCUCUCACUUUAGUUUCUUCUUUUGGACUCGUUGUUAUC